rnacentral:rRNA from 1 species
GAUGAACGCUGGCGGCGUGCCUAAUACAUGCAAGUCGAGCGGACGGACGAUAAGCUUGCUUCUCUGAUGUUAGCGGCGGGCGGGUGAGUAACACGUGGAUAACCUACCUAUAAUACUGGGAUAACUUCGGGAAACCGUAGCUAAUACCGGAUAAUCUUUUGAACCGCAUGGUUCAAAAGUGAAAUACGGUCUUGCUGUCACUUAUAGCUGGAUCCGCGCUGCAUUAGCUAGUUGGUAAGGUAACGGCUUACCAAGGCAACGAUGCAUAGCCGACCUGAGAGGGGGAUAGGCCACACGGGAACUGAGACACGGUCAAGACUCCUACGGGAGGCAGCAGUAGGGAAUGUUACGCAACGGGCGAAGGCCUGACGGAGCAACGCCGCGUGAGUGAUGAAGGUCUUCGGAUCGUAAAACUCUGUUAUUAGGGAAGAACAGAUGUGUAAGGAACCGUGCAGAGCGUGACGGUACCUAAUCAGAAAGCCACGGCUAACUACGUG